AGUUUUGUACCCAAUUAAAUGAGUCCGGAGUGUUCUUUAUAUCUCUAAUACAUGUUAUUGGUUAUUCUUUUCUUUUUCCUAUACAGGUCUAUUCGCCAGUCUUUUUUCUCAUACUUAUCCUUCAUCAUGAAUGUGAUCGACCCUGACGUUGGGCCAUGGGCCAGAGUUAGGCACCAAUGUUUAUGCCGCACACAGGGAGGUUUCGGACCCCGGUGCAAGAGGGACACGCGACACCUUUCGCGCAUUUGUUGGCAGCACCGCUUAAAUUACACAGAGGAGGAAAUAGAAGUGUUAAUUCGAAUGCGGCCAAUCAGAUGCCAAGCGAUGACACUCAGAGGCCAUCAAUGCUCACGAGAUGGCAGAAGACGCCAUGUCUUAAUGUACUGCACACAACACUAUAACAUUCAUGCCGGCCCGGAGGUUAUGUCCGAUUCCGAUGAAUUCUAGCCUGGACCGGUAAACAUAAAAAAAGAGCAAGACAAGGACAUCAUCUAACAACACCCGCCUCUCAACUAUCUCCCCUAUACCGUCAUCAUCUUCCAACCAGUUCCCCACACAUCUUCAAACCAGUUCUGCCAUCUUCACACCAGUUCCCUCAACAUCUUCACACCAGUUCUGCCAUCUUCACACCAGUUUAACAGGUAUUCCAACAUUCUUCAAAGCCAAUACUGCCAUUUAUAUCUAUAUUCUAUUAACUUAUUUAUUUCCACCUUGUCACACUCAAUCAUCAUUGUAUUUCCUGUACCUUGUCUUGCUCUUUUUUUAUGUGAAUGUUAAAGUGUUGCUUCCCAUGGCAAAAGGUUCACUAUUGACAAAGUCUAUAUUUGCGUGUGGUUACAUAGAACCACAAUGUUCCAUUCUAAGUGAAUGUGCGAUAUUUCCUAUGUUGACUAUUUUGGCUUUACAUAAUAUACAAUGUCUCUUCUCAUUACACACAUAUCCAUCCAUCAUUAUACAAUCAUAUACAUAUGUCCAUUAUGUGGCCUCCUUAUGCCAAAAUGCCACAUAAUUUCUC